rnacentral:rRNA from 1 species
CUCCGGUUGAUCCCGCCGGACCCGACUGCUAUCAGAGUGGGACUAAGCCAUGCGAGUCAACGCAGCAAUGCGUGGCAUACGGCUCAGUAACACGUAGUCAACAUGCCCAGGGGACGUGGAUAACCUCGGGAAACUGAGGAUAAACCGCGAUAGGCCAAGGUUUCUGGAAUGGAUCAUGGCUGAAACCUACAUGGCCCCUGGAUUGGACUGCGGCCGAUCAGGCUGUUGGUGAGGUAAUGGCCCACCAAACCUGUAACCGGUACGGGCUCUGAGAGGAGGAGCCCGGAGAUGGGCACUGAGACAAGGGCCCAGGCCCUAUGGGGCGCAGCAGGCGCGAAACCUCUGCAAUAGGCGAAAGCUUGACAGGGUUACUCUGAGUGAUGUCCGCUAAGGGCAUCUUUUGGCACUUCUAAAAAUAGUGUAGAAUAAGGGGUGGGCAAGUCUGGUGUCAGCCGCCGCGGUAAUACCAGCACCCCGAGUGGUCGGGACGAUUAUUGGGCCUAAAGCAUCCGUAGCCGGUUCUGCAAGUCUUCCGUUAAAUCCACCUGCUCAACAGAUGGGCUGCGGAGGAUACUACAGGGCUAGGAGGCGGGAGAGGCAAGCGGUACUCAGUGGGUAGGGGUAAAAUCCUCUGAUCCACUGAAGACCACCAGUGGCGAAGGCGGCUUGCCAGAACGCGCUCGACGGUGAGGGAUGAAAGCUGGGGGAGCAAACCGGAUUAGAUACCCGGGUAGUCCCAGAUGUAAACGAUGCAGACUCGGUGAUGGGUUGGCUUCGAGCCAACCCAGUGCCGCAGGGAAGCCGUUAAGUCUGCCGCCUGGGGAGUACGGUCGCAAGACUGAAACUUAAAGGAAUUGGCGGGGGAGCA